rnacentral:rRNA from 1 species
CAGCAGCCGCGGGAAUACGUAGGUGGCGAGCGUUGUCCGGAAUCAUUGGGCGUAAAGGGAGCGCAGGCGGGCAUGUAAGUCUUUCUUAAAAGUUCGGGGCUCAACCCCGUGAUGGGAAAGAAACUACAUGUCUUGAGUACAGGAGAGGAAAGCGGAAUUCCCAGUGUAGCGGUGAAAUGCGUAGAUAUUGGGAGGAACACCAGUGGCGAAGGCGGCUUUCUGGACUGCAACUGACGCUGAGGCUCGAAAGCCAGGGGAGCGAACGGGAUUAGAUACCCCCGUAGUCCCUGUCUCUUAUACC